rnacentral:rRNA from 1 species
UAACGCGUAUCGCAACCUACCUAUCGAAGAGGGGAACUAACCCGGACGGAAAGUCGGACUAAUACCGCAUAAAACAGGGGCACCGCAUGGUGAUAUUUGUUAAAGAAAUCCGCUGAUAGAUGGGCAUGCGUUCCAUUAGGUAGUUGGUGAGGUAACGGCUCACCAAGCCGACGAUGGAUAGGGGAACUGAGAGGUUGGUCCCCCACACUGGUACUGAGACACGGACCAGACUCCUACGGGAGGCAGCAGUGAGGAAUAUUGGUCAAUGGGGCGGGAGCCUGAACCAGCCGAAGUCGCGUGAAAGGAAGAAGGAUCUAUGGUUCGUAAACUUCUUUUGCAGGGGAAUAAAGUGCAGGACGUGUCCUGUUUUGUAUGUACCCUGAGAAUAAGGAUCGGCUAACUCCGUGCCAGCCGCUGC